UAGAUUUUUGCCCAAUUUUAGCUGGGAAUUCCUUGGAGGAACCUCUGGAGCUGCUCCUGAGGCAGGUCAGUGAUUCAUGCCCUUGAUAAACCUUUGGAUCUUCUUAUCAAAACUCAGAUAUUUUUAUUAAAAUUUAGAAUUUUUAAAAAUGGAGAAUAUUGAAACUCCAAUUGGAGACUCCAAAUCCAGUCUGGAGCCAGGAUUGAGGGCAAAAACCCACUGGAAUCUCCUAAAAAAUUGAUUUUUGCUCAAGAAACAGCUCUGGCCUGGCUGGGAAUUCCUUGAGGAACAGGGGAACAACUCUGGAGCUGCUCCUGAGGCAGGAAUGCUCAUCCGCAGGUGGAAUUGGAUUUCUGCUCCCAUGACUGACAACACAACUCCAUCCUGCUAUUUUCAGCCUCCAUUAUUAUUCCAAAGAGCUGAAACCUCGAUGCCUGUGGACACCCCACACAUCAGGGACACAAAGCCCUGUGGAACCUCUUGGGGAUGGAGGGCCUGAAGAAAAAACCAAACAAUCACCUAA